GAUGAAGAACGCAGCGAAAUGCGAUAAGUAAUGUGAAUUGCAGAAUUCAGUGAAUCAUCGAAUCUUUGAACGCACAUUGCGCCCGCCAGUAUUCUGGCGGGCAUGCCUGUUCGAGCGUCAUUACAACCCUCAGGCCCCCGGGCCUGGCGUUGGGGAUCGGCGGAAGCCCCCUGCGAGCACAACGCCGUCCCCCAAAUACAGUGGCGGUCCCGCCGCAGCUUCCAUUGCGUAGUAGCUAACACCUCGCAACUGGAGAGCGGCGCGGCCACGCCGUAAAACACCCAACUUCUGAAUGUUGACCUCGAAUCAGGUAGGAAUACCCGCUGAACUUAAGCAUAUCAAUAAGCGGAGGA
rnacentral:misc_RNA from 1 species